rnacentral:rRNA from 1 species
UACCAGCACCCCGAGUGGUCGGGACGAUUAUUGGGCCUAAAGCAUCCGUAGCCGGUACUGCAAGUCUUCCGUUAAAUCCACCUGCUUAACAGAUGGGCUGCGGAGGAUACUAUGGAGCUAGGAGGCGGGAGAGGCAAGCGGUACUUAGUGGGUAGGGGUAAAAUCCGUUGAUCCAUUGAAGACCACCAGUGGCGAAGGCGGCUUGCCAGAAUGCGCUCGACGGUGAGGGAUGAAAGCUGGGGGAGCAAACCGG